rnacentral:rRNA from 4 species
AGAGUUUGAUCAUGGCUCAGAUUGAACGCUGGCGGCAGGCCUAACACAUGCAAGUCGAGCGGUAGCACAGAGAGCUUGCUCUCGGGUGACGAGCGGCGGACGGGUGAGUAAUGUCUGGGAAACUGCCUGAUGGAGGGGGAUAACUACUGGAAACGGUAGCUAAUACCGCAUAAUGUCGCAAGACCAAAGUGGGGGACCUUCGGGCCUCAUGCCAUCAGAUGUGCCCAGAUGGGAUUAGCUAGUAGGUGGGGUAACGGCUCACCUAGGCGACGAUCCCUAGCUGGUCUGAGAGGAUGACCAGCCACACUGGAACUGAGACACGGUCCAGACUCCUACGGGAGGCAGCAGUGGGGAAUAUUGCACAAUGGGCGCAAGCCUGAUGCAGCCAUGCCGCGUGUGUGAAGAAGGCCUUCGGGUUGUAAAGCACUUUCAGCGGGGAGGAAGGCGAUAAGGUUAAUAACCUCAUCGAUUGACGUUACCCGCAGAAGAAGCACCGGCUAACUCCGUGCCAGCAGCCGCGGUAAUACGGAGGGUGCAAGCGUUAAUCGGAAUUACUGGGCGUAAAGCGCACGCAGGCGGUCUGUCAAGUCGGAUGUGAAAUCCCCGGGCUCAACCUGGGAACUGCAUUCGAAACUGGCAGGCUAGAGUCUUGUAGAGGGGGGUAGAAUUCCAGGUGUAGCGGUGAAAUGCGUAGAGAUCUGGAGGAAUACCGGUGGCGAAGGCGGCCCCCUGGACAAAGACUGACGCUCAGGUGCGAAAGCGUGGGGAGCAAACAGGAUUAGAUACCCUGGUAGUCCACGCCGUAAACGAUGUCGAUUUGGAGGUUGUGCCCUUGAGGCGUGGCUUCCGGAGCUAACGCGUUAAAUCGACCGCCUGGGGAGUACGGCCGCAAGGUUAAAACUCAAAUGAAUUGACGGGGGCCCGCACAAGCGGUGGAGCAUGUGGUUUAAUUCGAUGCAACGCGAAGAACCUUACCUGGUCUUGACAUCCACAGAACUUUCCAGAGAUGGAUUGGUGCCUUCGGGAACUGUGAGACAGGUGCUGCAUGGCUGUCGUCAGCUCGUGUUGUGAAAUGUUGGGUUAAGUCCCGCAACGAGCGCAACCCUUAUCCUUUGUUGCCAGCGGUCCGGCCGGGAACUCAAAGGAGACUGCCAGUGAUAAACUGGAGGAAGGUGGGGAUGACGUCAAGUCAUCAUGGCCCUUACGACCAGGGCUACACACGUGCUACAAUGGCAUAUACAAAGAGAAGCGACCUCGCGAGAGCAAGCGGACCUCAUAAAGUAUGUCGUAGUCCGGAUUGGAGUCUGCAACUCGACUCCAUGAAGUCGGAAUCGCUAGUAAUCGUAGAUCAGAAUGCUACGGUGAAUACGUUCCCGGGCCUUGUACACACCGCCCGUCACACCAUGGGAGUGGGUUGCAAAAGAAGUAGGUAGCUUAACCUUCGGGAGGGCGCUUACCACUUUGUGAUUCAUGACUGGGGUGAAGUCGUAACAAGGUAACCGUAGGGGAACCUGCGGUUGGAUCACCU